GUUAGUGUGGCAUAGUGGUUUGAGUGUUGGACUGUGACUUUGGAGACCAAGGUUCAAUUCCAAGUUUGGCCA